AUUACUAAGUCCCUUCCAUCCACCAGGCCAGCAGAAAUGAGCUCCUGAGAGACCCCCUCUGCUGUAUCUGCAAGGACAAAGAACACGGCGCUCAAUUUCUUGUGUGCACAUGUCACUGUGGCUCUCCCGGUCAGCACAGCUCACAGACUACUCUAGCUGAAGAGUCUAUCCAGUUCACUACCACUUACCCUGAGUUGUGAGAUGGCUGCUCUCCCUUCCUCACUUUCCUCAUCAAAUUCAUCAUCACUCCACUCCCAGCCUCCAUCCUCUGUCUUAUGGAGACGGCCGCUGGAGCCCGGUACUCUCCGAACCUGAGCAAAAGGAAGGCAUGAGAAUUAUGGUGUCUUGUAUGCACUGAACAGGAACCUCAAUUCUUUUUCCACCUAAAUAAAACAGUAACUAGAUCAUUAUUAUCCUGGCACAGGGGGAAAAUCCAACAUGUAAUGUCCCAAGACAUUUAAAGGAGAAGAAAGGAGGUUUCACAUAGACCAUAAACAAACCCAAGGAGUUGUCAAUGUAUGGAUUUUUUCACAAUGGAAGAUGAAAAUUUCACUAUAAUCAGUGUCCUACUCUUUCCUUAAGGAAACUUCUCUUUGCAAAGAUGGAGAGCAUUACAGAAAACCAGUUCAAAUGUAAGCUGCAGAGCCCAGUCCCAACUGAUACAUCUACAACACAACCCCUGCACCUAAGGCUAAAGCAACAUUUCGGAAGAGGAAACAGAAAAACUAGCUAUCUACCCCAGUGCUAAGAACAGUGUUGGUUCUGUCUUGUUUUAUCCCACUGAUGAGGAUGGAAGUUUGUACGGAGCCUUGUACAAGUCUGGUCCAUUCCUUCUUCUAAAGUACAGCUGUGGAAGAGUGAGAUGAAAGGACCUGACUACAAAACUCAGUCACUACAAAACAAAACAAAACAACCUUACUCCAUGUUCACUCCAACUCUAGAACUUGACUAGCUGGAGAACUGGAGUUACUCUCUCUCAGUACUACUUAACUAUGGUCUGGCCUCACUCACGUGAGUGGGGGCAGCGGCCUGCAGUUCCUCAGCAGGGAUUACUGAGGCUGCAUAAAGAGAUGCACAGCAGGAAGAAGAGACACCAGCUGGAAUCUCUAAUGUGAGCAGUCAAGGCUUCCCAGCUACAAAGCCUGCAGUUCUGUCUUCCCAUGAGUAGAGUUUUUUUAAGUCUCGUGUAUCCAUGCUGCCCUCAACCUUGGCUGACCGCUAACUUCUUAUCCUCCUCGUCCUGCCCAAGCGUUAGGACGACAGGCUGUUAUUUAAUAUUACUUCGCCUCAAUCUCACCAGUCUCUCCCUGCUACCACUGCAUUAUGAAACUCCUGAAGAACUGAAGCUGUCGUGUCUGCCAACUCUAGUUCAUGGUGCAGUGUCACCACGUGUGCCGCAGCUUGAAUGGCUGGCAGCAGCUUGAGUGGACUGUUGUUCCCAGGAGCCGGAGACCUGGAUUUGCUGGUGUUCUGCAUGCACUUCUGAGACCCCUGCACCCAAAACGAAGCUGCCUGACAACAGUGCUUCAAUGUUUAGACCCUAGGAGGUGCAGUGUAUGCAUUUAAUGUGGAGAGUACAAAUUCAGACUCAACCCAUAGAAAUAAAGUCAAAACAAC